rnacentral:rRNA from 1 species
CAGCCGCCACGGUAAUACGAAGGGUGCAAGCGUUACUCGGGAUUACUGGGCGUAAAGGGCGCGUAGGCGGUUCGUACAGUCGGAUGCGAAAUUCCUGGGCUUAACCUGGGGGCUGCAUUCGAUACGUGCGGGCUUGAGUGUGGAAGAGGGUUGUGGAAUUCCCAGUGUAGAGGUGAAAUUCGUAGAUAUUGGGAAGAACACCGGUGGCGAAGGCGGCAACCUGGUCCAUGACUGACGCUGAGGCGCGUAAGCGUGGGGAGCAAACAGGAUUAGAUACCCCGGUAGUCCCUGUCUCUUAUAC